AACGCUAGCUACAGGCUUAACACAUGCAAGUCGAGGGGCAGCAUAAAAGUAGCAAUACUUUGGUGGCGACCGGCGCACGGGUGAGUAACGCGUAUGCAACCUACCUAUCAGAGGGGGAUAACCCGGCGAAAGUCGGACUAAUACCGCAUAAAACAGGGGCACCGCAUAGUGAUAUUUGUUAAAAAUUUAUUGCUGAUAGAUGGGCAUGCGUUCCAUUAGGUAGUUGGAGAGGUAACGGCUCACCAAGCCUACGAUGGAUAGGGGAACUGAGAGGUUGGUCCCCCACACUGGUACUGAGACACGGACCAGACUCCUACGGGAGGCAGCAGUGAGGAAUAUUGGUCAAUGGGCGAGAGCCUGAACCAGCCAAGUCGCGUGAAGGAAGAAGGAUCUAUGGUUCGUAAACUUCUUUUGCAGGGGAAUAAAGUGCAGGACGUGUCCUGUUUUGUAUGUACCCUGAGAAUAAGGAUCGGCUAACUCCGUGCCAGCAGCCGCGGUAAUACGGAGGAUCCGAGCGUUAUCCGGAUUUAUUGGGUUUAAAGGGUGCGUAGGUGGUUUAAUAAGUCAGCGGUGAAAGUUUGCAGCUUAACUGUAAAAAUGCCGUUGAAACUGUUAGACUUGAGUGUAAAUGAGGUAGGCGGAAUGCGUGGUGUAGCGGUGAAAUGCUUAGAUAUCACGAAGAACUCCGAUUG
rnacentral:rRNA from 1 species